UUCCAUGGCGCCUGUUUAUCAAAAACAUGGUUUUUUGUAAUUAUGGAAAAUCGGGCCUGCUCACUGCUAUUAGUAAAUAGCCGCAGUAUUUUGACUGUGCUAAGGUAGCAUAAUCAUUUGCCUUUUAAUUAGAGGCUUGUAUGAAUGGUUUGACGUGAUAGAAUCUGUCUCCGAUAAAUAUGUUGAAGUUGAUUAUAAAGUAAAAAGGCUAUUAUGGAUCUGAGGGACGAUAAGACCCUGUUAAGCUUGAUUUUUGAAUUUUGCUGGGGUGGCAAUUUAAGAUGAAAAUCUUAAUAAUAGUGGUUAUAGGAUAAGGACCCAAUAUUAUUGAGUGAUAGAUAAAGCUACUAUAGGGAUAACAGCUUAAUUUUUUUAAUGAGUUCUUAUUUUAAGAAAAGUUUGUGACCUCGAUGUUGAAUUAAGGGUUCUAUUUGGUGAAGUCGCUUAAUAAGAAAGUCUGUUCGACUUUUAAACCCUUACGUGAUCUGAGUUCAGACCGGCCAUGGAAACCUC
rnacentral:rRNA from 1 species